UACGAAGGGGCUAGCGUUGUUCGGAAUCACUGGGCGUAAAGCGCACGCAGGCGGAUCGUUAAGUCGGGGGUGAAAUCCCGAGGCUCAACCUCGGAACUGCCUUCGAUACUGGCGAUCUUUGAGUCCGGGAGAGGUGAGUGGAACUCCGAGUGUAGAGGUGAAAUUCGUAGAUAUUCGGAAGAACACCAGUGGCGAAGGCGGCUCACUGGCCCGGUACUGACGCUCAGGUGCGAAAGCGUGGGGAGCAAACAGG
rnacentral:rRNA from 1 species